rnacentral:rRNA from 1 species
UCUGAGCAGUCAAUUAGUUGUCCUCCUUUAGGUUGACUACUUCUUGAUCGGACGGGUUGCUUUCAAGCAGCAGGAAGCUUCAGGCGAUAACAGGUCUGUGAUGCCCUUAGAUGUACUGGGCUGCACGCGUGAUACAAUGGCCGAGACAACAGGUCGGAUCUCCGUAAGGGCGAUUCAAAACUUCAAUCUCGGUCGUGCUUGGGAUGGACCAUUGUAAAUUGGUCCUGAACGAGGAAUUCCUAGUAAAUGUGCUUCAUCAUAGCGCGUUGAUUACGUCCCUGCUUUUUGUACACACCGCCCGUCGCUGUUUUCGAUGAUUGGUUUAAUGAGUUUAGCGGAUAGACAACGUGUUGUUUAGAAACUAACCAAAUUUGACCAAUUAAAGAUAGCAAAAGUCG